GAUCAUGGCUCAGGAUGAACGCUGGCGGCGUGCUUAACACAUGCAAGUCGAACGGGGAUAUUGUGGAAGCCCUUCGGGGUGGAAGGUAAUAUUCGAGUGGCGGACGGGUGAGUAACGCGUGAACAAUCUGUCCCAGACAGGGGGAUAACACUUGGAAACAGGUGCUAAUACCGCGUGAGACCACGGGGUCGCAUGGCCUUGGGGUAAAAGGAGGAAUCCGGUUUGGGGUGAGUUCGCGUCCGAUUAGCCAGUUGGUGAGGUAACGGCCCACCAAAGCGACGAUCGGUAGCCGAUCUGAGAGGAUGACCGGCCACAUUGGAACUGAGAGACGGUCCAAACUCCUACGGGAGGCAGCAGUGGGGAAUAUUGGGCAAUGGGCGAAAGCCCUGACCCAGCAACGCCGCGUGAGUGAAGAAGGCCUUCGGGUUGUAAAGCUCUGUUAUAGGGGACGAAGGGAGUGACGGUACCCUAUAAGGAAGCCCCGGCUAACUACGUGCCAGCCGCAGC
rnacentral:rRNA from 1 species